CUGAGUUUGAUCCCUGGCUCAGGAUGAACGCUAGCGGCAGGCUUAACACAUGCAAGUCGAGGGGUAUUAGUUUUCGGANUAAGAGACCGGCGCACGGGUGCGUAACGCGUAUGCAAUCUACCUUUUACAGAGGGAUAGCCCAGAGAAAUUUGGAUUAAUACCUCAUAGUAUAUAGNCUUGGCAUCANGAUUAUAUUAAAGUCACAACGGUAAAAGAUGAGCAUGCGUCCCAUUAGCUAGUUGGUAAGGUAACGGCUUACCAAGGCUACGAUGGGUAGGGGUCCUGAGAGGGAGAUCCCCCACACUGGUACUGAGACACGGACCAGACUCCUACGGGAGGCAGCAGUGAGGAAUAUUGGACAAUGGGCGCAAGCCUGAUCCAGCCAUGCCGCGUGCAGGAUGACGGUCCUAUGGAUUGUAAACUGCUUUUAUACGAGAAGAAACACUCCUUCGUGAAGGAGCUUGACGGUAUCGUAAGAAUAAGGA
rnacentral:rRNA from 1 species